rnacentral:rRNA from 1 species
UACGUAGGGGGCAAGCGUUGUCCGGAUUUAUUGGGCGUAAAGAGCGUGUAGGCGGCCAGAUAGGUCAGCUGUGAAAACUCGAGGCUCAACCUCGAGAUGUCGGCUGAAACCAUCUGGCUAGAGUCCGGAAGAGGAGAAUGGAAUUCCCGGUGUAGCGGUGAAAUGCGCAGAUAUCGGGAAGAACACCCGUGGCGAAGGCGGUUCUCUGGGCCGAUACUGACGCUGAGGAGCGAAAGCGUGGGGAGCGAACAGG